rnacentral:rRNA from 1 species
AGAGUUUGAUCCUGGCUCAGAACGAACGCUGGCGGCGUGCCUAACACAUGCAAGUCGAACGGGGAUAAGUAGCUUGCUAUUUAUUCUAGUGGCGCACGGGUGAGUAACGCGUAGAUAAUCUGCCUUAGACUCUGGGAUAACAUCUCGAAAGGGGUGCUAAUACCGGAUAAGCCCACGAAGACGUGAGUCUUUGCGGGAAAAGGGGGCCUCUGCAUAUGCUCUUGAUCUAAGAUGAGUCUGCGUACCAUUAGCUUGUUGGUAGGGUAAUGGCCUACCAAGGCGACGAUGGUUAGCUGGUCUGAGAGGAUGAUCAGCCACACUGGAACUGAGACACGGUCCAGACUCCUACGGGAGGCAGCAGUGGGGAAUUUUGCGCAAUGGGGGAAACCCUGACGCAGCAACGCCGCGUGAGUGAUGAAGGCUUUCGGGUCGUAAAGCUCUGUCUAGAGGGAAGAAGUGAUUAGUGGUUAAUACCCAUUAUUCUUGACGGUACCUCUGAAGGAAGCACCGGCUAACUCCGUGCCAGCAGCCGCGGUAAUACGGAGGGUGCAAGCGUUGUUCGGAAUUAUUGGGCGUAAAGCGCGUGUAGGCGGUUUGUUAAGUCUGAUGUGAAAGCCCUGGGCUCAACCUGGGAAGUGCAUUGGAAACUGGCAGACUUGAAUACGGGAGAGGGUAGUGGAAUUCCGAGUGUAGGAGUGAAAUCCGUAGAUAUUCGGAGGAACACCGGUGGCGAAGGCGGCUACCUGGACCGAUAUUGACGCUGAGACGCGAAAACGUGAGUAGCAAACAGGAUUAGAUACCCUGGUAGUCG